rnacentral:SRP_RNA from 1 species
GCCGGGUUGAGUGGCGUCAACUUGUAACAGGUGCUUCUGCCUGGGUAGUGGGUCAUUGAGGGUCGCAGUAUGUUGAGCGAGGUCACUAUUCCCAGGAUGUGGAUGGCGCGUCCGUUUCAAACCAGGAGUGGACAUUGGCGCGUUGCCGUAGGGCAGUGCGUCGAGGUCACUAAGGAAGGGUGCAUCGCCCCAGGCUGGUCAACAGAGCAGGGAAAAGCCCUCGCUCUUGGUAGUGGAAGGACCUCGUGCCAGAAUCCUGAGGUGGUCUCGUUCGGCUCUCAGCUGCGGCUCAAAGGGCCU